UACGAAGGAUGCGAGCGUUAUCCGGAUUUAUUGGGUUUAAAGGGUGCGUAGGCGGCCUUAUAAGUCAGUGGUGAAAUCCUCUCGCUUAACGAUAGACGUGCCAUUGAUACUGUAGGGCUUGAGUACAGAUGCCGUUGGCGGAAUGUGUCAUGUAGCGGUGAAAUGCAUAGAUAUGACACAGAACACCGAUUGCGAAGGCAGCUGACGAAACUGUAACUGACGCUGAUGCACGAAAGCGUGGGGAUCAAACAGG
rnacentral:rRNA from 1 species